rnacentral:lncRNA from 1 species
UUUUGAGUCACGUGCUUUGUGACGUCAUCCUGAGCGCAGGUUGCCGAUUACUUCCCGGACGCCGUCGCGGUGUACACGUCCAGCGAUGAUCCCAGCUUGGAGUGCAUCUACGCCAACAGAACCGAAUACGUGCCUAAACAGAGAGCAGUGUACCUGUGGUCAUUGAAAGGUCAUCGGGGCACGCAGAAAGGAACGCACAAGAUUGAAUUUCGUCCCGGGCCGUCACCAGACACUGCAGUCGCUAUCACCAACGAUGACCAUUUCCGUCCGCACCUUGUGAAGUUCCAGUACACUAACAACAAGAACUGCAACAUCGCCGCGAAUUUCCCUUUCCACGGAGAUGUGUGUAUGUUGUGGGUCACCGGAUCGAGCAGGUACUCCGUGCCGCAAGAGUGCGUCGACCACUUCGAAGACAUAUGCGACGCGGAAGUGCCCGCCUACAGCGAGGACCUUUGCAAAGGAGAGCUUUGAUAACUUAAGAUGGAUGAAGUGACGAUGAGAUGCAAAUACACGACAAAAAUUGUUGCUCUCUGACAGGGAUGGCAAAAUUGCUCCAAAAAAGUAGCUAAACAGCAUUACAAAUUACUUUUCUAAGAAUGUUUUAAGUGUAAUUAAACUACAUUACAAGUUACAGAUGGCCGAAGGUAAUGACAUUUCAUUACUAUUACUUUCGAAAAG